rnacentral:rRNA from 1 species
UGCCUACGGGACGCAGCAGCGAGGAAUAUUGGUCAAUGGACGAGAGUCUGAACCAGCCAAGUAGCGUGAAGGAUGACUGCCCUAUGGGUUGUAAACUUCUUUUAUAUGGGAAUAAAAUGUUCCACGUGUGGGAUUUUGUAUGUACCAUAUGAAUAAGGAUCGGCUAACUCCGUGCCAGCAGCCGCGGUAAUACGGAGGAUGUGAGCGUUAUCCGGAUUUAUUGGGUUUAAAGGGUGCGUAGGCGGAAUGCCAAGUCAGCGGUAAAAUCGCGGGGCUCAACCUCGCUCCGCCGUUGAAACUGGCGU